AUGCACAAAACCGGAUGGUCUUGGUACAACGUAAAUCCGACCGUGAAUCUGCAUGAGAUGUAAAUGACACAAGAUGUAUCGUGGUUCACCCCAAGGUUUGGGCUACGUCCACACUGAUUGUAUUGUAUUUCUCUGUUGAAGAAGGAGAGAGAGAGCUUAGAGCUUAGGGGUGUGAGGAAGCUUUGAGAGGGAUGAGGAGAGACCCCCCCUCUUUGUGAGGGUGAGGAGGCCCUUUUAUAGAAUAAGGGCUCCUCCCCUAAUUACAUAUUUGCCCAUUCCUUUAUUACAUAAUUACAUUUAAGUCCCUCGAGUAUUUAUACGAGGUCUAAAUACGAGGUCCUAAAUAUGGUAUAAACAGUAGUCCCCCAAGUCUUCAGUCAAGAGAGUCUUUUGGCUGGAGACUUGAAAUUCAGUCCAUGUGUGGGCCGAAGUAACUAGAUAUUGUCUUGAACUGAUGCUCGAUAUGAGGCAGUGCUUAAUCUGAAAUGACGCUCAACUAGAAGUAGCACACGCUGUGAGGCUACUCGGCUUGUGGCUUAUGUUGCCUUGGUUGGCUCAGCUUGUGGCGUUGAAGGUGAGGGAGUCCCUUUUAUAGAAUAAGGGUUCGCUCCUCAAUACAUGAAUGAUGAGCUAGAGUUGAUGCUCUCUAAUGAUGGUGAGGGAGUCCCUUUUAUAGAAUAAGGGCUCGCUCCUCAAUACAUGAAUGAUGGGCUAGAGUUGAUACUCUCUAAUGAUGGUGAGGGAGUCCCUUUUAUAAAAUAAGGGCUCGCUCCUUAGUACAUGAAUAAUGGGCUAGAGUCCCCCAAGUAUUUUUUAUAAGGCCCAAUAUAUGGUACAUAAUGUAGUCCCCCAAGUCUUUGGUCAAUAGACGCUGUUGGCUGGAGACUUCAAAUUCAAUCCAUGUAUGGGCUGAAAUGGCGGUUGUUCGGAGGCGGUCUUUGUAGACCAUGCACUGAAGCUUUGUAGGUGAAGCUUUGCAAGUGAAGCUUUGAAGCUGGAGCUCUGUAAAUGAAGCUUUUGAAGCUAGAGCUUUUGUAAAUGAAGCUUUUGAAGUUGGAGCUCUGUAAAUGAAGCUUUUGAAGCUAGAGCUUUUGUAAAUGACGUUUUUGAAGCUAAGGCUUUGUAAAUGAAACUUUUGAAGUUGAUUGUCAUGAGUGAUGCUCAUGAAUGUUUAAUUGACAUGAGUGAUGCUCAUGAAUGUUUGAUUGACAUGAGUGAUGCUCAUGGAUGUUAACAUGAGUGAUGCUCAUGAAUGUUUAUGUAUGAUUGACAUGAGUAAUGUUCAUGUAUGAUUUGAAGUACUGGGCGUACUUUUAAUCACCUGGUUGGUGGCAUAAAGGAGAGUACGGGUUGUACAUUUCAUCACCUGGUUGGUGGUAAUAGCGGCAGGUUGCCGAAUAAUUUUGGAGUAUUGGGCGUACUUUUGAUGACCUGGUUGGUGCUAUUUUAGGCUUAUGGGCCUUCACUCUCCACACAACAUUCCAACCCAUUUAUUUUGGGUUUUGUCGUUUUUUUUUUUUAAUUUUUUUUUUGAACCCUCUGAUGGGGUUUAUACAUAUUACCCUCUGAUGGGGUUUAUACAGAUGUUUCCGAAAGAUAAGGAAAAUAAAUUACAUCAUUCUGGUGGGGUGUUUAUUCCAUGCUUUUGCAGUGUUUUUCUGCUGCACUCUCUCUGUUUCUUUAUCUGGCAGACAUAAGGAAUCAUAAUAAUAGGAAGAUCUUUUGCUUUUCUUUUUUUCUCUUUUCCUUUUCUGCUUUUCCUUUUGCUUUCUCUUUUUUAUCUUUUCCACUGCACUACAUGUUUACAGCAUGAGUGAGUGCAUGGUUGGAGUUCGUGGAGGACCCGUUGGUGGUGCCCGUGCCACUGCUAGUGGAUGAUUGCUUUUGCCUAUUUUUUGAUGAUGGUGUCUCUUUCUUUUUGAGUUGGUAGUCGACACAUUAAUUCAUCAGAUAAAAAAAAAAAUUCUUAUCUUCUUUCAUCAGCUUUCUCUGUCCACCACCACAUUGAACCUUAGCUCCAUGAUAUGGGUCUAUCUGAAAAGCAACUUGGGACUGAUUGUAACCAGCCCUUCUACUGGAUACAUGGUGAUGUCUCCAUUGAAGCCGUGACGUCUCCGAGGGCAUGGUGGGCCAGACUUCCACCCGAAAAGCCGCUGGCAUCAUUCUCCAGAUGAUCAAGGAAGGAAAAAUCACGGGUCGGGCCGUUCUUCUGGCGGGUCAGCCCAGAACCGGCAAGAUCGCCAUCUGCGUCGGUUAUGGAGGUGGAGUCGUAGAGGAGGCCGUCGGUGGUCAUGGAGCCAAUUGGAAGCGAUGACGUCGUGUUAACGAUGUUGUUCUGGUAGUCCCGUAGGUUUUGGGGGUGCGCAGAGGAGGAAGACUGGUGUGGUGUGGUGGUGGUGGGCUUGGGCUUUGUAGCGGAGGAGAAAACUUCUCUUCUUCCUCCUUUCUUUUUCUUGGCUGAGAAGCCCCAAUUCCAAUUCAAAUUCUGAUAGAGCAAAAUUUCAAACCAUCAGACUGCUGAAUUUGUUAGAAAUCCCGUUUGGCAGUUGAGAAACAGAGAGAGAGAGAUCUAUGUCGGUGUGGACGCCCAAGAACAGGAGAGAGAUGAGGGAUAUGAGAUAGAUGUAGGGAUCUUUCUAUAGCUGCUCUAGCAUAGACACCCAAAGAUCGAGAUUUGAUCAGAACCCCAUUAAAAUUCUCCGAUUGGAAAAACAACCCAUUUUGGAAAAAAAUGCCGAUUUAAGAGACCCGAGUGAAGAUUUGAUCCAGCACGCCAUGGGAGGGCAUGAAGCUGAAAAUUCGAGCUUAUUUUCCCAAAUCUGUAAAGGUGUUGAAAGAGUUGCAGAGAAGGACAUGGAAGCCGGAAUCCGUGGCGACGGAGAAAUAACGGUGGUCCUGGUUGAAGAACAUAUGGCUGCAUGACUUGCCGGACUUGUGCUUCGCGGCCUGAAGCUGGUGGGUUAUGCUUGCUUUCUUCUCUGCCAUUUUUUCAGUUUUGGGAUUCUCUCUCAAUCCCUCUGUCGGUCUGGCGCAUGUUGACUGGAAAAAACCUGAAAGGGUAGGUUACCUGGCAGGAAGCUCUUCCCACUGGCUGCACUGUUGGAUGAUUGAAAAUUUUGAAGGGGUAGGUUAUAGACCCAUCAAAGGUGGUGGGCGUCGGUCACAGCUCCCUUGUCGGGGACGAUACCUUUCUUGGCAGCAACUGGAGUAAAUGGGACUGUCAUCGCGCCGUGUUCCAUUAUGACAAGGCAAACUUUAACGCGGGGACGGGUGGCAUUAAGCGCUGUUGACAUGGUUGUGUUAAAAACCAACAUAAUUGAAGCUCACAUCCACAUUGGAUUUCAUGGUUGUCUUGAUCUGGGCAAUCAUCAUCCAUUUUUGUCGAAAGCUUUGAUAGUGUCAUUAGCACCGAGACAACCUUGAAGGGCUUUCUGAGCACGGACCGUCGACGACCUUGAAGGGUUUUCUGAGCACGGAAGGGAUAGGAAGUGCAUCGAUACGACAGGCCUGGACCUCGCUGUAAACGAAGGCGAAUCAGCCGGUGACAUGUGCCGGAACUGACUCAACAUCGGCAGCACCGCCGUUAGCAAUCAGUGAUGGUGGAUGAAUGAGUGGUUGAUUUCUCUGAUGUAUGAGCGGCUGUCUGGAAGCUGACUGGAGCUUUUGCAGAGAGAGAAUGGUGAAACAACGUCGUGGAAGCUGUCUGGAGCUUUUGCUUUUGGACCGCGUCCCAUGACUGUGCAGGGGAGAAGUCACUAGCAAAUUUGCUAGUUCAAGCCCCGUCCUGCUCAUUUGGUUGUUCAUCUUCAGUAGUUUAUGUAGAAAUAUGCUUCGCAGAUAGAGAAUGGUGAAGUAACGUGAGAGCUGGACGACGUCGUUUGAGCUGGUAGGGGAACUAGGAGAGAUGAAGCGAGAUCUUAUGAAUCAGAAAGAAAGGUUUAGACUCAUGGGUUCCCAUCCAAAAUUCAGCAUAUGAUUUUUCUUGAGUUUUGGAGUUUUCCUUUCUGCAGUUUUGAGAUAUGGGUUUUGCAGUGACUUUGGUUUCUGGGUUUGUGUGAUUUUGCAGAUUCACGAUGAAGGUGAAAAAAUGAAAGAGAACCGAAAUAACUUUUUGUGUCGUUUCCCACAGACGGCGCCAAAUGUUGAUGCACAAAACCGGAUGGUCUUGGUACAACGUAAAUCCGACCGUGAAUCUGCAUGAGAUGUAAAUGACACAAGAUGUAUCGUGGUUCACCCCAAGGUUUGGGCUACGUCCAUACUGAUUGUAUUGUAUUUCUCUGUUGAAGAAGGAGAGAGAGAGCUUAGAGCUUAGGGGUGUGAGGAAGCUUUGAGAGGGAUGAGGAGAGACCCCCCCUCUUUGUGAGGGUGAGGAGGCCCUUUUAUAGAAUAAGGGCUCCUCCCCUAAUUACAUAUUUGCCCAUUCCUUUAUUACAUAAUUACAUUUAAGUCCCUCGAGUAUUUAUAGAGUUCCCCUCCGACUAGGAGGCCAAUCACUACUCGACACGUGUCAAGAUUAGAAGCCAAUCAGAGCGCAG
rnacentral:lncRNA from 1 species